GGUGUUAAUACCUCAGUGGGAACUGAAACUAGUUGCUUCACUCUUUUAAAGUGUGAUCAGCAGAUGCCUUUGCAGUCCAGACACCUGUCCUAUGAACAUCAGUUUGCUGCAGAUACCGGUGAUAUCAGCAGGAUGCAGGCGCCGGCUUCUAGCACCAAUUAGCUCACAGUAAGAUGUGCGACGCACUCCUGACGCGGCUGUUCCAGGAAGCCGCCGUGCUUUCCAUAUUCCCCUGGACACGCAACCUCAUCGUCCAUGAAUGUAUGAAGCACAGUGCUAAAGGUUCUGCAAACAUAAAGGAUGUGUGUGCGUGGAAGAUCCAGUGAUGCUGCAGGCUGAUGGAGGACAGCCAGGAAUGAAUCACAUCACCCUCAUAAGUGCAACCUUUCUCUGAAUAUUGCCAAUAAAUAGCAAUAAUCAGUACUGAUUGACACCUUUAUAUAUUCAAGUUUAAUAAAUACACAUCAGAACAUUAAAAAUUGUCCAAAUGUUUUCCACAGGUG